UACGAGGGGGGCGAGCGUUGUUCGGAAUUAUUGGGCGUAGAGGGUGCGUAGGCGGUUUGGUAAGUCUGAUGUGAAAUCUAUGGGCUCAACUCAUAGUCUGCAUCGGAAACUGCCGGGCUUGAGUAUGGGAGAGGUGAGUGGAAUUCCUGGUGUAGCGGUGAAAUGCGUAGAUAUCAGGAGGAACACCAAUGGCGAAGGCAGCUCGCUGGGACGGUACUGACGCUGAGACGCGAAAGCGUGGGGAGCAAACAGG
rnacentral:rRNA from 1 species